UAAUCUAUAAGAAGUUGCUUGGACAUGAAUGUGUGUGGGGUUUUGGAGAUAAUUUGUUUUUCACCUGUAAUACAUGAUAUAAUCGUGUAAGGGAAAUGGGAAACAUGCUUUUUUUUUUUUUUUUUUCUUUCUUGUAUUCACUGCAGUUGUUCACUUGAAAAAUAGAAUGUCACCACAGUGUAAUUUUUAUACUGCUUGAAAGAUUCUGACUGGGCAAAUAAGCUGUAAGGGAUAUAAAUUAAGAAUACACAGAAGGGAUACAUCUGGAUAGAGUGGGACUCCUGGGUGUCAAUGAGCGUGCUUGGCUUAGAGUCAUAUGAAUGUCACCUGCCUUACUUCCUUCUCUGACCCUGGGAUACAGAAAAUCCAUCAGCAGGUUUCCACAGCUGGAUUGUCUGCUAGACCAGAUUGUCACCAGUGAUCCAGAGGCUUGUUUGGGUGGUCAAGGCCAUAGCCUGCCAGGCUUCUUAUAGAAGGGACCCAUGGGAGAAGAGAUCUAUCCAGGGACACAUGGAAAACUUUUUUUCUGGUGCUGAUUAGAGCGGGUAGCCUCCUGGUGCACCUGGAACCAGUAUGCAGCCAGUAUGUUUCCGUAAUCUCACCUGGAGGUGGAAAGUCAAUAGGCAUUUGUCUCCUGAAGAUCCGGGACUGUUAAAGAAAUCAUGGGAAUCCUUUGGCUGCCUCUGUCAAAGGGAACUAGAAGGCAGGUAAGCCUUUCAUAUCUUACACUUUAUGUUACCCUCCCUGGUAAAGCAAUUGCCUCGAG
rnacentral:lncRNA from 1 species